rnacentral:siRNA from 1 species
UAAAAGCAAGCUUGAUUCUUCU